ensembl:misc_RNA Y_RNA Y RNA
GGCUGGUCCGAAGGUAGUGAGUUAUCUCAACUGAUUGUUCAGUCAGUACAGAUUGAACUCCUUGUUCUACUCUUUCCCCCCUUCUCGCUACUGCACUUGACUAGUCUUUU